UACGUAGGGUGCGAGCGUUAAUCGGAAUUACUGGGCGUAAAGUGUGCGCAGGCGGCAGAGCAAGUCGAGUGUGAAAGCCCUGGGCUUAACUUGGGAAUUGCGCUCGAAACUACUUUGCUGGAGUGUGGCAGAGGAAGGUGGAAUUCCACGUGUAGCGGUGAAAUGCGUAGAGAUGUGGAGGAACACCAAUGGCGAAGGCAGCCUUCUGGGCCAACACUGACGCUCAUGCACGAAAGCGUGGGGAGCAAACAGG
rnacentral:rRNA from 1 species